rnacentral:rRNA from 1 species
AAUGAACGCUGGCGGCGUGCUUAACACAUGCAAGUCGUACGAGAAAGCCUUGGCUUGCCAGGGCGAGUAAAGUGGCGCACGGGUGAGUAACGCGUGGGUAAUCUACCCCCGGAUCCGGGAUAACCCUCCGAAAGGGGUGCUAAUACCGGAUGAAGUCAUAGGGACUGCGGUUUUUAUGAUGAAAGGUGGCCUCUCCAAGGAAGCUACUGUUUGGGGAUGAGCCCGCGUACCAUUAGCUAGUUGGUGGGGUAACGGCCUACCAAGGCAGCGAUGGUUAGCUGGUCUGAGAGGAUGAUCAGCCACACUGGAACUGACACACGGUCCAGACUCCUACGGGAGGCAG